rnacentral:rRNA from 1 species
UACAGAGGUCUCAAGCGUUGUUCGGAUUCAUUGGGCGUAAAGGGUGCGUAGGCGGCGCGGUAAGUCGGGUGUGAAAUCUCGGGGCUUAACUCCGAAACUGCAUUCGAUACUGCCGUGCUUGAGGACUGGAGAGGAGACUGGAAUUUACGGUGUAGCGGUGAAAUGCGUAGAUAUCGUAAGGAAGACCAGUGGCGAAGGCGGGUCUCUGGCUUACUACUGACGCUGAGGAGCGAAAGCGUGGGGAGCGAACGGG